rnacentral:misc_RNA from 1 species
CAUACUUCCAGACGAUCUUCUGUUCGUCCUUGAGAUUGAGCGCGUAGACGAUAUUCGGGAACGGCGUGUGGAUGUACAUCAUGUCGCCGAUGAUGAGCGGUCCGCCUUCAUGGCCACGCAGNNNNNNNNNNACGUCCACGCAACCUGCAAUUUGCCGACAUUGUCGGACGUGAUCUGCUUGAGUUGCGAGAAACGAUGAUUGGCAUAGUUGCCAGUAGGCAUGACCCAAUCUUUUGGGUUCUGCUGCAUUUUCAGCAACUCGUCGUUAG